AUGAAGACUGGGAAUGCACAUGGAGGAUAUCAUCAUGUAAAUCUCAGGAGGGGAAAAAGAAGAGAAGGAAACCAUUCCAGACUGUUAGAUUUGACCCUACAAGUCUGCAGAGGCAUGUUGCUGGUGGAUGAACUGAUAGUCCAGCUAGUUAAUCAGCAUGACAUGACCAGCCAGACAAAGCCAACAUAUCUCAACUGUUUAUAGUGUACAAUGAUGCACAGCCCACUGAAGCAGGUAAAAGAACUCCUAUAGUCUUUAGUGGGUUUUGGAUCAGGCCAUUAAGGAUUUUUUCAUUACUUUAAAAUAGUCUCAACGUAUCACAGGCAUAACCAUGGGUUUGUGAUUCGAUCGUGCUGUGAGAUUUUAUAGUGCCUGGGCAUACUCUGACUCAGUGGCUGCUUUCAUCUGUCAUCCUCAGCUCUUAGGUCUUUACCUUGGAUUUUUAACCACCUGGGACCGAUUCAAUCACUUUGAUUAUUAAGAGACACUCUUCUUCCAUAGCACCCAUAUUGUAUUUCAUGAUUCGGUUUUGUUUUGUUGUCUUUCAUUGUUGAAUUCCCUUGAUUUAGCUCCAGUUCUGCAUUAAAGUUGCACUUGAUCAUAUUUUCAUGUUUAAACUUCAUGUAUGUAAAAAGCUCCUAUUUUUUUUUAUCUGACAAAAGAUCUGCUUAAAUAGAUGUUCUUCAUCCCUUUGUUAUUGUUCCUUUGGCAAGUCACAUUAUUUCAUUGUGUUCUGCUUUGUUCAUGUCUUUUCUCUUUAGUUCAUCCUCUCAUCUUGCUAUGAAUAGUCUAUAUAUCAAUGCAGUUAGAGAUGGACAGACUUUUGUACCCUUAUGCUCUUGGUGAUCCUAAGAUAUUACUUAGUGAACAGCCUUAGGUUACAGAAUUGAUGGCCUCUGAAUUACAGCAGUUUCUUGAUACCUUAGGAAAACUCAGCAUGGGACAUCUGGUUUUUAUUCGCUGGAAACUGUUUCAAGGAAUAUAUUCAUUUUGUCACACAAACACACCAUGUUAAAAGGAGUAAGCUCUGGUAAGCAUUAAGAUAUGGCUACAUCUUCAGUGGUUGUUGCUCCAUUUGCUUUAAUUGUUACUACAUCUUCAAGCAAGCUAUACCAGCUUACACCUCCAGUUCUUGCACUAACAUAACUCUGGACUGACUACCUAGAAAUGCAUGGGAGUUUUUCAGGUGCAAGUAAGACAAAUCAUACCUGGCAGGAGUACAACUACCUGUUUAAAAAGAAAUAAUCCCCUAGAAACCUUUACCUGUUACAGCAUAUGCCUGGAAAUAGCAUGUAUUUUCUGUGCCUUGAUAUUAUUCUUUUAAUGUGCUUUUUUGCUUUUCUUUCUGUUUUUCAUUGAAGUCAGUGAUGCAUUGCUUGUCCUUAAUGACUCCAGUGUAAAACUUCCCAGACACUGGUUGAUUUUUUCAGCAUUUACACUGAUUGGAUUUAUCCACAUGGGAUAAAUGCCACUGAUUUUGAAGAUCCCAAGAACUGGCUGUUUUGUGAACUCCUUUUUGGUUUUUGAAUACUAUUUCAAUGGUCUGAGAUGUCUUGUUGGACUUUUAGUAGCUUUCCUUAUUAUCAGAUAUGAUAGAACUGUAAUUGAGAAAGUGGAAUAAAGUUACUUUUAAUUCAUGUCCA
rnacentral:lncRNA from 14 species